CCUAACACAUGCAAGUCGAACGCGAAAGGGGAGCAAUCCCUGAUUAGAGUGGCAAACGGGUGAGUAACACGUGGGUGACCUGCCUUCGAGUGGGGGAUAACCUUCCGAAAGGAGGGCUAAUACCGCAUGACAUACCGUGUUUGGAUACACGGAUAUCAAAGCCGGGGAUCGCAAGACCUGGCGCUGGAAGAGGGGCCCGCGUCCGAUUAGCUAGUUGGUGGGGUAACGGCUCACCAAGGCUCCGAUCGGUAUCCGGCCUGAGAGGGCGGACGGACACACUGGAACUGAGACACGGUCCAGACUCCUACGGGAGGCAGCAGUGGGGAAUUGUUCGCAAUGGGCGAAAGCCUGACGACGCAACGCCGCGUGGAGGAUGAAGAAUUUCGGUUCGUAAACUCCUUUCGACCGAGAUGAAUACCCAUGGGUUUAAUACGCCUGUGGGCUGACAGUAUCGAGAGAAGAAGCCCCGGCUAACUCUGUGCCAGCAGCCGCGGUAAUACAGGGGGGGCAAGCGUUGUUCGGAAUUACUGGGCGUAAAGGGUUCGUAGGUGGCCACUUAAGUCAGACGUGAAAUCCCUCAGCUUAACUGGGGAACUGCGUCUGAUACUGAGUGGCUUGAGUGCAGGAGAGGAAUGCGGAAUUCCAGGUGUAGCGGUGAAAUGCGUAGAUAUCUGGAGGAACACCGGUGGCGAAGGCGGCAUUCUGGACUGUAACUGACACUGAGGAACGAAAGC
rnacentral:rRNA from 1 species